rnacentral:rRNA from 1 species
UACAUGCAAGUCGAGCGAAUGGAUUAAGAGCUUGCUCUUAUGAAGUUAGCGGCGGACGGGUGAGUAACACGUGGGUAACCUGCCCAUAAGACUGGGAUAACUCCGGGAAACCGGGGCUAAUACCGGAUAACAUUUUGAACCGCAUGGUUCGAAAUUGAAAGGCGGCUUCGGCUGUCACUUAUGGAUGGACCCGCGUCGCAUUAGCUAGUUGGUGAGGUAACGGCUCACCAAGGCAACGAUGCGUAGCCGACCUGAGAGGGUGAUCGGCCACACUGGGACUGAGACACGGCCCAGACUCCUACGGGAGGCAGCAGUAGGGAAUCUUCCGCAAUGGACGAAAGUCUGACGGAGCAACGCCGCGUGAGUGAUGAAGGCUUUCGGGUCGUAAAACUCUGUUGUUAGGGAAGAACAAGUGCUAGUUGAAUAAGCUGGCACCUUGACGGUACCUAACCAGAAAGCCACGGCUAACUACGUGCCAGCAGCCGCGGUAAUACGUAGGUGGCAAGCGUUAUCCGGAAUUAUUGGGCGUAAAGCGCGCGCAGGUGGUUUCUUAAGUCUGAUGUGAAAGCCCACGGCUCAACCGUGGAGGGUCAUUGGAAACUGGGAGACUUGAGUGCAGAAGAGGAAAGUGGAAUUCCAUGUGUAGCGGUGAAAUGCGUAGAGAUAUGGAGGAACACCAGUGGCGAAGGCGACUUUCUGGUCUGUAACUGACACUGAGGCGCGAAAGCGUGGGGGAGCAAACAGGAUUAGAUAC